AAACCUACAGAAGCGGAGGAAAUAAGACCAAGCCUUACGUUAGGCCCGAGACAGAGUACACAGCGUGUCAAGAAGCGGGGCCAUCCGGAAUAACACAGAACAAAGUCGAUCACACAACCCCUUACCACUACGGACCCCUUGAAGAUCCCUUGACGUUUUUGGAAUAUUUACGUGAUAUUGAACUCCCAGAACAACAAGAAAAACCACAACCUUUGGGCAACAUCGAGAAUCGGAAGAAUUCUUCAUCACCGGACCGCACACACCAGCGAGUGAGUGUCUGCCUAGUGAUUUCAACGAUGUUUUCGAGUACAGUCUAUCAGAUUUCAACAUAAAUGACAUACCCGCCACACCAAAAUGUCUCAGAAACAACAGCGAUUCAGACAUAGGUUUUGAAGAAGGAGGCAUAACAGACUCACAAAUAUCGC
ensembl:lncRNA